rnacentral:rRNA from 1 species
CAGUCGCCGCGGUAAUACGGAGGGAGCUAGCGUUGUUCGGAAUUACUGGGCGUAAAGCGCACGUAGGCGGCUUUGUAAGUCAGAGGUGAAAGCCUGGAGCUCAACCCCAGAACUGCCUUUGAGACUGCAUCGCUCGAAUCCGGGAGAGGUGAGUGGAAUUCCGAGUGUAGAGGUGAAAUUCGUAGAUAUUCGGAAGAACACCAGUGGCGAAGGCGGCUCACUGGACCGGUAUUGACGCUGAGGUGCGAAAGCGUGGGGAGCAAACAGGAUUAGAUACCCCAGUAGUCCCUGUCUCUUAUAA